UACGGAGGGGGCUAGCGUUGUUCGGAAUUACUGGGCGUAAAGCGCACGUAGGCGGCUUUGCAAGUCAGAGGUGAAAGCCCGGGGCUCAACCCCGGAAUAGCCUUUGAGACUGCAUCGCUUGAACAUCGGAGAGGUAAGUGGAAUUCCGAGUGUAGAGGUGAAAUUCGUAGAUAUUCGGAAGAACACCAGUGGCGAAGGCGACUCGCUGGACAGGUAUUGACGCUGAGGUGCGAAAGCGUGGGGAGCAAACAGG
rnacentral:rRNA from 1 species